rnacentral:rRNA from 1 species
UACGAAGGGGGCUAGCGUUGUUCGGAAUCACUGGGCGUAAAGCGCACGUAGGCGGUCUCUUAAGUCGGUGGUGAAAUCCUGGAGCUCAACUCCAGAACUGCCUUCGAUACUGAGAGUCUUGAGUCCGAGAGAGGUGAGUGGAACUGCGAGUGUAGAGGUGAAAUUCGUAGAUAUUCGCAAGAACACCAGUGGCGAAGGCGGCUCACUGGCUCGGUACUGACGCUGAGGUGCGAAAGCGUGGGGAGCAAACAGG